rnacentral:rRNA from 1 species
UGAGUACGAGACGCUAAGGCGUCGAAGUGGUGUAUAUCAGACUUCCAAGAAAAGCUUGCACUGUCAUAAAUAAAGAAUGCCUGUACCAUAACCGACACAGGUGGGUAGGUAGAGUAUACUAAGGGGCGCGAGAUAACUCUCUCUAAGGAACUCGGCAAAAUAACUCCGUAACUUCGGGAGAAGGAGUGCCUUAUUUAUAAGGCUGCAAUAACAAGAUCCAAGCAACUGUUCAUCAAAAACACAGGUCUCCGCUAAGUCGUAAGACGAUGUAUGGGGGCUGACGCCUGCCCAGUGCCAGAAGGUUAAAGAAGUUGGUUAGCAUUAGCGAAGCUGAUAACUGAAGCCCUGGUGAACGGCGGCCGUAACAAUAACGGUCCUAAGGUAGCGAAAUUCCUUGUCGGGUAAGUUCCGACCCGCACGAAAGGCGUAAUGAUUAGGAUACUGUCUCGGAGAGGGGCUCGGUGAAAUAGACUUGUCUGUGAAGAUGCGGACUACCUGCACCAGGACAGAAAGACCCUAUGAAGCUUUACUGUAACCUGAAAUUGAAAUUGGACUUUAGUCGCGCAGCAUAGGUGGGAGGCUUUGAUGAUACUCUUGCGGGAGUAUCGGAGCUAUCAGUGAGAUACCACUCUUCUAAUGUUAGGUUUCUAACUUUGAAUCAUUAUCUGGUCAAAGAACAGUUUCAGGCGGGCAGUUUGACUGGGGCGGUCGCCUCCUAAAUGGUAACGGAGGCGUACAAAGGUUUCCUCUGAACGGGUAGAAAUCGUAUCUAGAGUGUAAAGGCAUAAGGAAGCUUGACUGUGAGACCUACAAGUCGAACAGGGACGAAAGUCGGUCUUAGUGAUCUGACGGUACUGAGUGGAAAGGCCGUCACUCAACGGAUAAAAGUUACUCUAAGGAUAACAGGCUGAUCUCCCCCAAGAGUUCACAUCGACGGGGAGGUUUGGCACCUCGAUGUCGGCUCAUCGCAUCCUGGGGCGGUAGUACGUCCCAAGGGUUGGGCUGUUCGCCCAUGAAAGCGGUACGCGAGCUGGGUUCAGAACGUCGUGAGACAGUUCGGUCCAUAUCCGGUGUAGGCGUUAGAAUAUUGAGAGGAGCCUUCUUUAGUACGAGAGGACCGAGAAGGACAUACCUAUGGUGUACCAGUUAUCGUGCCAACGGUAAACGCUGGGUAGCUAAGUAUGGAGUGGAUAACCGCUGAAAGCAUCUAAGUGGGAAGCCCACCUCGAGAUGAGUAUUCUCAC